CGAUAGAAUGAUCGUCGUCGCCGGUGGCCACGACGACGAAAAGAAUGCUUUGAUAUCAGCGCUCUCAUACGACGUCGUUAAAGACGAGUGGGUUACACUUCCUGAUAUGGUCAUGGAGAGAGACGAAUGUAAGGUUGUAUAUCACAAAGGUAAAUUCCACGUCAUCGGCGGUUAUCCUACGUGGGCGCAAGGUCACUUUGAGAAUG
rnacentral:misc_RNA from 1 species